GUCUGUAUGAAGUUGUAUGGAGUCUAAACUGCCCGUUGAAAAAAUUUUGAAAGGCCGCGGUAUAUUAACUGUGCAAAGGUAGCAUAAUCAUUAGUUUUUUAAUUGAAGGCUUGUAUGAAGGGUUGGACAAAGAAAAAUCUGUCUUCUAUUUUUAUUUUUGAAUUUUACUUUUAAGUGAAAAGGCUUAAUUUAUUUAAAGGGACGAUAAGACCCUAUAAAUCUUUAUAUUAAUUUAUUUUUUUAAUAAUUAGUUUUGUAUAAAUAAUUUAAAAAUAAAAAAUAUUUUGUUGGGGCGAUAAGAAUAUAAAUAUAACUGUUUUAAAAUAUAAACAAAGUUAUUUGUUAAAAUUUAAAGAUCCUUUAUAAAGAUUAUAAGUUUAAGUUACUUUAGGGAUAACAGCGUUAUUUUUUUUUGAGAGUUCUUAUCGAAAAGAAAGUUUGCGACCUCGAUGUUGAAUUAAAAUAUCUUUAUGGUGUAGCUGCUAUAGAAAGAAAGUCUGUUCGACUUUUAAAUUUUU
rnacentral:rRNA from 1 species